rnacentral:sRNA from 17 species
AAACAUUUGCGGUGAAAUGCGCAAUUGGAUUCUGUUGAGUUCUUUGUGUAUGAGAAGGUUGGAGAAAGACCACUUUGUUAAGCCGGGGUGAUGUUUUUUUGAAUGACCGCAGUUCGAAAUCGCCCCGGUUUCACAAU